ensembl:lncRNA
UGGAGACAAGCAUAUCUUGCUGGAGAUCCCUGGGUGCUUGAGACCUUCCUCAGCAGCAGUUCAAAGCGAUGUAUCAAAUUGCCUUCAUCCAAAUGAACAGCUGAUUCUUCAAUCAUCAUCCAGUGAGGAGAGCUGUCUUCUCACCCAAGAAAAGAUGAUGCACAAGGAGAUCACAGAAUCACACAAUUCUAGGGGCUGUGAGGGACCCCCAGGGAUCAUUGAAUCCAGCCCCCUGCAAAGCAGGCCCCCUCCAGCAGGCUGCAGAGGGACAGAGGUGAGACCGAGUGGCCUUGACUUUCCUGGAUCCUCUUUCUUGCCCUUUCUGAAGACCGGCGUGACAUCGGCUGUCCUCCGGUCCUCAGGCACCUCCUCUGUUCUCCAAGACCUGUCAAAGAUGACAGAGAGUGAUUCAGCAGUCACAUCUGCCAUCUCCCCCAGUAUGUGUGGCUGCAUCCUGCCGGUGACUUUUUACAGGAAAAAGGUGUGGCACGAUACCGUAGCUCUUCACAGCUUCAAAGCAUUACGUGCACAGUACAGAUACAGAUGUCCUGAGUGUUUCACCUCAUUCACCCAACUGGCAAUGGGAAGGUUAGGAACAGUAAAAAACAUCAUCUUCUUCCAGAAGGCCUUGAAAAACUGUUGGAAAGGCAACACCUCCUAUGGAAGCUUUGCUGGUAAUUCAGAUGUUCGUGAUAUGUGAAUCCUUACCUUAGAAGUCGUGCUUGAUUGGAUUUGCUGCAGUGUUUCGGGUGAGGAACUGCAUUUCUGGAGGAAUUUCUACUUCUUGCCCAUCCCUGAUGGCGUUGCAUAUCAUUCAAGGAGCAGCGCAAGUGUAUUCUUCGGAGUACUGAGAAGAAGUGAAAAAUACAUUUUCUCCCCUUCCUUGUUACUGUCACCUUCAUAGCACUUUCCUGGUUGACCAACCC